UACGUAGGUGGCAAGCGUUAUCCGGAAUUAUUGGGCGUAAAGAGCGCGCAGGUGGUUGAUUAAGUCUGAUGUGAAAGCCCACGGCUUAACCGUGGAGGGUCAUUGGAAACUGGUCGACUUGAGUGCAGAAGAGGGAAGUGGAAUUCCACGUGUAGCGGUGAAAUGCGUAGAGAUAUGGAGGAACACCAGUGGCGAAGGCGGCUUCCUGGUCUGUAACUGACACUGAGGCGCGAAAGCGUGGGGAGCAAACAGGAUUAGAUACCCU
rnacentral:rRNA from 1 species